rnacentral:rRNA from 1 species
UGGGGAAUUUUGGACAAUGGGGGAAACCCUGAUCCAGCCAUCCCGCGUGUGCGAUGAAGGCCUUCGGGUUGUAAAGCACUUUUGGCAGGAAAGAAACGUCGCGGGUUAAUACCCCGCGAAACUGACGGUACCUGCAGAAUAAGCACCGGCUAACUACGUGCCAGCAGCUGCGGUAAUACGUAGGGUGCAAGCGUUAAUCGGAAUUACUGGGCGUAAAGCGUGCGCAGGCGGUUCGGAAAGAAAGAUGUGAAAUCCCAGAGCUUAACUUUGGAACUGCAUUUUUAACUACCGGGCUAGAGUGUGUCAGAGGGAGGUGGAAUUCCGCGUGUAGCAGUGAAAUGCGUAGAUAUGCGGAGGAACACCGAUGGCGAAGGCAGCCUCCUGGGAUAACACUGACGCUCAUGCACGAAAGCGUGGGGAGCAAACAGGAUUAGAUACCCUGGUAGUCCACGCCCUAAACGAUGUCAACUAGCUGUUGGGGCCUUCGGGCCUUGGUAGCGCAGCUAACGCGUGAAGUUGACCGCCUGGGGAGUACGGUCGCAAGAUUAAAACUCAAAGGAAUU